rnacentral:rRNA from 1 species
GAGUGGCGAACUGGUGAGUAACACGUGGGAAACCUGCCCAGAAGCGGGGGAUAACACCUGGAAACAGAUGCUAAUACCGCAUAACAACUUGGACCGCAUGGUCCGAGUUUGAAAGAUGGCUUCGGCUAUCACUUUUGGAUGGUCCCGCGGCGUAUUAGCUAGAUGGUGGGGUAACGGCUCACCAUGGCAAUGAUACGUAGCCGACCUGAGAGGGUAAUCGGCCACAUUGGGACUGAGACACGGCCCAAACUCCUACGGGAGGCAGCAGUAGGGAAUCUUCCACAAUGGACGAAAGUCUGAUGGAGCAACGCCGCGUGAGUGAAGAAGGGUUUCGGCUCGUAAAACUCUGUUGUUAAAGAAGAACAUAUCUGAGAGUAACUGUUCAGGUAUUGACGGUAUUUAACCAGAAAGCCACGGCUAACUACGUGCCAGCAGCCGCGGUAAUACGUAGGUGGCAAGCGUUGUCCGGAUUUAUUGGGCGUAAAGCGAGCGCAGGCGGUUUUUUAAGUCUGAUGUGAAAGCCUUCGGCUCAACCGAAGAAGUGCAUCGGAAACUGGGAAACUUGAGUGCAGAAGAGGACAGUGGAACUCCAUGUGUAGCGGUGAAAUGCGUAGAUAUAUGGAAGAACACCAGUGGCGAAGGCGGCUGUCUGGUCUGUAACUGACGCUGAGGCUCGAAAGUAUGGGUAGCAAACAGGAUUAGAUACCCUGGUAGUCCAUACCGUAAACGAUGAAUGCUAAGUGUUGGAGGGUUUCCGCCCUUCAGUGCUGCAGCUAACGCAUUAAGCAUUCCGCCUGGGGAGUACGGCCGCAAGGCUGAAACUCAAAGGAAUUGACGGGGGCCCGCACAAGCGGUGGAGCAUGUGGUUUAAUUCGAAGCUACGCGAAGAACCUUACCAGGUCUUGACAUACUAUGCAAAUCUAAGAGAUUAGACGUUCCCUUCGGGGACAUGGAUACAGGUGGUGCAUGGUUGUCGUCAGCUCGUGUCGUGAGAUGUUGGGUUAAGUCCCGCAACGAGCGCAACCCUUAUUAUCAGUUGCCAGCAUUAAGUUGGGCACUCUGGUGAGACUGCCGGUGACAAACCGGAGGAAGGUGGGGAUGACGUCAAAUCAUCAUGCCCCUUAUGACCUGGGCUACACACGUGCUACAAUGGAUGGUACAACGAGUUGCGAACUCGCGAGAGUAAGCUAAUCUCUUAAAGCCAUUCUCAGUUCGGAUUGUAGGCUGCAACUCGCCUACAUGAAGUCGGAAUCGCUAGUAAUCGCGGAUCAGCAUGCCGCGGUGAAUACGUUCCCGGGCCUUGUACACACCGCCCGUCACACCAUGAGAGUUUGUAACACCCAAAGUCGGUGGGGUAACCUUUUAGGAACCAGCCGCCUAAGGUGGGACAGAUGAUUAGGGGAAGUCG